rnacentral:lncRNA from 13 species
UGGCCCAGCUCGCCUCUCAUAAACUCUCUGGCCAGCUCCUGCCUCCCAGCGGCCUGUCCAGGCCCGAAGCUUCCUCUCCGGGCCCCACCUCUCCAGGCCUGGCUUUUGCCUGUGCUAGGCCCCUCCAGGCCCAGCCUCCACCUCUCAGUGGACCCUCCAGACCCAGCUUGUGGCCUCAUCGUGGCCUCUGCUCAGCCCAGCUCCUGCCUCUGUGGCAGCCUGUCUUCACAGGCCCAGCUUGUAGCCUCCCAGUGGCCCCAGGCGGCCCUUCCGUGCCCAGCGUUGGCCUUCUGGCAUCCUCUCCUUGUCCAGAAUGUCUUCAGGUCAGCCUCUUGGGGCCCAGCCCCUCCUUCCGGCGGCUUCUAAGGGCCAACCUUCCAUUCUCGCCUCACAGCAACCUUUGUGGACUCGGCUCCUCCCCAGCUCCCGGAGGCCUUUGUAGGCCCGAAAGCUCAGGCCCGCGACUCAGGCUCUCCAAGACUACCCAGCUCAUGCCUCACGCUGGCCUCUCCAGGCUCAGCUUCUGCCCAGCCAGGGUUCCUACAGGUUUCAGAUGUCCCAGAGUCGGCUUCUCCAGGCCCGGGUCCGGACUCCUCCUAUUGGCUUCUGCGGGCCCAAGCAUUGGGUUCUCAAUUCGGCCUCUCCAGGCCCAGCUCCAGUUCUCCUGGCAUCUCCUCCCCAUGGGUGCAAAACAUUGUCACAUGGGCCCUUCUAGGGCCAGCUCAUGCCUCCCAAAGGCUCCCUGGGCUUAGCUCCUGCCUCCCAUCAGCCUCUCCUGGAGCCCCGUCCUCUGCCUCUGUACUGGCGGCCUCUCCAGGCCUGGAUCCUCCUCUUGGCCAUGUCUACAGGCCCAAGUUUUGCCCCCGGCAGCCUCUUUUUUUUUUUUGAGAUGGAGUUUUUCUUUAACCAGGCGUGAGUGCAAUGACCUGAUCUCGGCUCACCUCAACCUUUGCCUCUUGGAGGUUCAGGCAGUUCUCCUGCCUCAGCCUCCUGAGUAGCCGGGAUUACAGGCAUGCACCACCAUGCCCAGCUAAUUUUUUGUUUUCU